CCCCCAAUUACAGCUCUGUGUGUGUUUCUGCUAAUGUGCCCUCUAAUCCCAGCUCUGCAUGUGUCUGCUGAUAAUGUGUCCCCCAAUCCCAGCUCUGUAUGUGUCUGCUGAUAAUGUGUCCCCUAAUCCCAGCUCUGUAUGUGUCUGCUGAUAAUGUGCCCCAAUCCCAGCUCUGUAUGUGUCUGCUGAUAAUGUGCCCUCUAAUCCCAGCUCUGUAUGUGUCUGCUGAUAAUGUGUCCCCCAAUCCCAGCUCUAUAUGUGUCUGGUGAUAACAUGUUCCCCAAUCCCAGCUCUGUAUGUGUCUGCUGAUAAUGUGUCCCCCAAUCCCAGCUCUAUAUGUGUCUGGUGAUAACGUGUUCCCCAAUCCCAGCUCUGUAUGUGUCUGCUGAUAAUGUGUCCCCCAAUCCCAGCUCUAUAUGUGUCUGGUGAUAACAUGUUCCCCAAUCCCAGCUCUGUAUGUGUCUGCUGAUAAUGUGCCCCCCAAUCCCAGCUCUGUAUGUGUCUGCUGAUAAUGUGUCCCCCAAUCCCAGCUCUGCAUGUGUCUGGUGAUAACAUGUUCCCCAAUCCCAGCUCUGUAUGUGUCUGCUGAUAACAUGUUCCCCAAUCCCAGCUCUGUAUGUGUCUGCUGAUAAUAUAUACCCCAACCCCAGCUCAGUAUAGGUCUGCUGAAAAUGUGUCCCUCAAUUCCAGCAUUGUAUUGUCUUGACAGCUGUAAUAAAUUUCAUUUUUUUAAUGUAUUGUAUCACGUAGUUCCUGAAUACUUAGCACUACAUAAUUUUCCCACCGGCCGGGGAGACCUAAUGCGCAUGUGCGGCAAUGCCGCGCAUGCGCAUUAGAGCUCCCCAUAGGAAAGCAUUAAAAUGCUUUUCAAUGCUUUCCUAUGGGGAAAUGAGCGACGCUGGAGGUCCUCACAUAGUGUGAGGACAUCCAGCGAUGCUCUAGCACAGGUUUCCUGUGCUAGAAACCAGGAAGUGCCCUCUAGCUAUUAGACAGCCACUAGAGGUGGAGUUAACCCUGCAAGGUAAUUAUUGCAGUUUAUAAAAAAACUGCUAUAAUUACACUUGCAGGGUUAAGAGUAGUGGGAGUUGGCACCCAGACCACUCCAAUGGGCAUAAGUGGUCUGGGUGCCUGGAGUGUCCCUUUAACUCAUUUAAUUUAACAAAUGUGUCAUACACAUUAUUUGCAAUGUGCUGAUCACACCUCUGGCGCUCAAAUGGUAAACAAAAUUAGAAAAAGCAAAAUGUUUAUUUUUCUUUUGACAUUUCAUAUAAGUUCAAAGUAUCAGUGGGGCUUCUUGGUUGAGGGAGUGGAGUCAAAUUCCAUGGUUAGUAUCUGGCACUGUGCCACCUUAAUACACAAGCCACCACUUAAUACAUGUGUCAAUGUAUUUACAUUUUGCUAAAGGUUUGCUAUUCCAUUUGAGUAAAAAUAUAUAUUGUUGAGAUUGUUUUAUUGCAUGUAUUGCUUACAACAUAUUAUUUAUUAAAUAAAGUCUACAAUAUGAGUUUA